rnacentral:rRNA from 1 species
GAGCACUGUUUCGGCAAGGGGGUCAUCCCGACUUACCAACCCGAUGCAAACUGCGAAUACCGGAGAAUGUUAUCACGGGAGACACACGGCGGGUGCUAACGUCCGUCGUGAAGAGGGAAACAACCCAGACCGCCAGCUAAGGUCCCAAAGUCAUGGUUAAGUGGGAAACGAUGUGGGAAGGCCCAGACAGCCAGGAUGUUGGCUUAGAAGCAGCCAUCAUUUAAAGAAAGCGUAAUAGCUCACUGGUCGAGUCGGCCUGCGCGGAAGAUGUAACGGGGCUAAACCAUGCACCGAAGCUGCGGCAGCGACGCUUAUGCGUUGUUGGGUA